GCCCCCGUAGCUCAGUGGAUAGAGCGCUUCCCUCCGAAGGAAGAAGUCGCUGGUUCAAAUCCAGUCGGGGGCACCA
rnacentral:tRNA from 1 species